rnacentral:rRNA from 1 species
UACGGAGGGUGCAAGCGUUGUCCGGAAUCAUUGGGCGUAAAGCGCGCGUAGGCGGCCCGAUCAGUCCGCUGUAAAAGUCCAGGGCUCAACCCUGGAAAGCCGGUGGAUACUGUCGGGCUAGAGUCCGGAAGAGGCGAGUGGAAUUCCUGGUGUAGCGGUGGAAUGCGCGGAUAUCAGGAGGAACACCGAUAGCGAAGGCAGCUCGCUGGGACGGUACUGACGCUGAGACGCGAAAGCGUGGGGAGCGAACAGG